UCCUGGCUCAGGAUGAACGCUAGCGGCAGGCUUAACACAUGCAAGUCGUGGGGCAGCGCGGACUUCGGUCUGGCGGCGACCGCAAACGGGUGCGGAACACGUACGCAACCUCCCUCAGAGCGGGGAAUAGCCUCUCGAAAGAGAGAUUAAUACCCCAUAGUAUCUUGAAGACACAUGUCUAUGAGAUUAAAGCUUCGGCACUUUGAGAUGGGCGUGCGGCUGAUUAGGUAGUUGGUAGGGUAACGGCCUACCAAGCCGACGAUCAGUAGCUGAUGUGAGAGCAUGAUCAGCCACACGGGCACUGAGACACGGGCCCGACUCCUACGGGAGGCAGCAGUGAGGAAUAUUGGUCAAUGGAGGAAACUCUGAACCAGCCAUGCCGCGUGGAGGAUGAAGGUCCUCUGGAUUGUAAACUCCUUUUAUAAAAGAAGAAACCCCAUUUUUCUAAAUGGGUUGACGGUACUUUAUGAAUAAGCACCGGCUAACUCCGUG
rnacentral:rRNA from 1 species